rnacentral:misc_RNA from 1 species
GAUGAAGAACGUAGCGAAAUGCGAUACGUAAUGUGAAUUGCAGAAUUCAGUGAAUCAUCGAGUCUUUGAACGCACAUUGCGCCCCCUGGUAUUCCGGGGGGCAUGCCUGUCCGAGCGUCAUUGCUGCCCUCAAGCACGGCUUGUGUGUUGGGCCUCCGUCCUCCUCCCGGGGGACGGGCCCGAAAGGCAGCGGCGGCACCGCGUCCGGUCCUCGAGCGUAUGGGGCUUCGUCACCCGCUCUUAUAGGCCCGGCCGGCGCUUGCCGACACAUCAAUCUUUUUUCCAGGUUGACCUCGGAUCAGGUAGGGAUACCCGCUGAACUUAAGCAUAUCAAUAAGCGGAGGA